rnacentral:lncRNA from 1 species
GAAAAUUCAACAAUUAUUGAACUCAUAAUUGAGAAAAUGCAAAAUUAGAAGAUUUUUGUUUUCAAACAGUCAAAACAACCAAGUGUAGAAAGUUAUAUGUAAUUUCCAAAUCCCACCACUAACACAAAAGAAAAUUGAAUACAGUUCCAACUCUAAAGCACUAAGAGAACGAAUUUCAGGAGACAACUGAUGAUUUCGCAAAAAUUAUUCACUUCGAUUAUCAAAGUAAGCAUCCAAAAACCCAAUAACAUUACACCCAAUAUCAUAAAAUAACACAACAUAAAGCACAGUAAUGAUGCACGAACAAACCAUACAUCCUGGGCCAGAAGGUGAGAUGAGAUGAGAUGAGAAAAGAAGGGAGAAAGGGAAUGGAGGGACGAGAAGAAUGAGGCGUUAACAGAUACAGAGUCUGCUAAUUAAUUAUACCAUCAUUUAAAAGAUUCAAUAGAGGAAUUCGGCAAUAAAAAGCAGUCGAUGACCACAACUUUUAACUUUGUGUGCAACAAGACCUACUUCGGGCCAAUAUCCUUGAGGGCACAAAUUUGUUCCUCUCCCAUGGCAGACAUCACCGACACGACA